AGUGUAGAAGAAGAAGAAGCAAAGAUACUGAUUCAAAUGAUGAUGAGGAUGGAGACAAUAAGCAGUGAGGUUUGUUUGACCCAGAGGAAAGGAAACAAUUUUAGAAAGUUAUGUUUGAUGAUGAUACUUCAUGAAAUUCUGAGAUGGUGUGAGUGUGAUAGUCUAGUUUGCGCAUUUGGUUCAUAUAAAUUUGAUAUCAACACUUCCCUCUCUGCUACAUAUGCAUACAUACACAAGGUCGCGCAUAUGGAUUGAAAUUU